GACAGAGGGUGCAAACGUUGUUCGGAAUUACUGGGCGUAAAGCGCGUGUAGGCGGCCAUCUAAGUCGGGCGUGAAAUCCCACGGCUCAACCGUGGAAGUGCACUCGAAACUGGAUGGCUAGAGUCCUGGAGAGGAAGGUGGAAUGCUUGGUGUAGAGGUGAAAUUCGUAGAUAUCAAGCGGAACACCGGUGGCGAAGGCGGCCUUCUGGACAGUGACUGACGCUGAGACACGAAAGCGUGGGGAGCGAACAGG
rnacentral:rRNA from 1 species